AGGGCAGCCCGCUGGGGCAGGGUGCAAGGCAGAGCAGGAAAAAGCUGGAAUGGGGCCACAGGCGCUCAGCACAGCCACACACAGCUCUGCUGAACGCCAGCGCCUUCACUUGCUGCUGAGCCCAGAGAGGCACCAAGAGUCACUUCCCAGGCGUGGUGCAGAGGAGAGCAUCGUGCACACAAAGCUCCUUUCAUGCUGCUAGGACCUGGGUUACACUGAGCACACCAUCUGCCAGGUAAAAAGAGAUCAAGCUAUUUCCUAUGGAAUCCCUGGCCCCAAAGGCUGUGGUUACAAGCACACAUCUUGUUUCAUUAUGACAAAUGGAUAAAUUACAUAUCCACCAACUGUUCAGCUCUGGAAUGAAGCACAAGCAUAUGGGGCAGUUGAAGGAGAAGAGAGAGGUGCAUCAUCCCAGACAGAGCUCCUCAAGCUCAGGAUUGGACAAGACUAGCCAGAAUUACAUUAAGUUUCCCUGAAACUGGGAUUGCAGUUGGCCCUAAAGCUAUCACAGUGUCCCAGGCACCCAGAAUUGAGAGUGUUUGCUGAUAAAUUACAACACCAGUUGGAAAUCCUGGAAAUUACCUGUCAUGCCAAGCUAUGGGUUUAUUUUUAACCAGUAAGCUUCUAAAUUUCACCUCUCCAAAAUCAAAAUAAAAUCUCAAAAUUCCUCACAUGCCAAACCUGCUCUUCUCCCCAGCUAAUUCCAGGAGCUGCUGGCAGAAAAUGAACCUAAAGCCCAUGGAAUUUAUACAAGUGGAAAAGUGUACGUGCAGGAGGACUGGAUGCACCAGCUCUGUGCAGACUGGCAGGCAACCUCUAACCUAUUUAACUGGAGCCUGAAAAAAGAUAAUUUUUAUUUGGCUGGACUGAAACAGAUCUGGAUGUAUAUAUCUGAGGCACAUUGUAACAAGCACAAACACUGCAGACUCAUUUCAUAGUUAUGCCUAUUCCAAAUUAAUCUGAAUUCAAAUCCAAACUAGGUGCUGAAAUGGGAUAAAAUGCAGCUGCAGCUCUUCUCCUUCAGCACACACGUACAGAGACAUCACAUCCGACAUGGUGUGGGAAGCUCUGCCCUCCCAGGCUGCAGAAACACUUAGAAAUUAGUCAGCAGUUAAAAAAAGGUCCAGGAUGUUGAUUGCAAACCUGAGGACUGGUUUUGUUCCUGAGAUAACAAAAGAAAGCACAAUAAAAAAGUGAGUUUAUGUAUGCUUUAGUCACCUUAUCUGUGGACAAGGGAAAACACCCCACUCUCAUCUGAAGGAAGUUAACACAGGUGGAACUCUGAGGGGGACUUUGAAGUUGUGCUCAAAGCAUUCCCAUAAAUAUCAUUCUUGUGCCAAUCUCCAUUUAGCACAGAAGCAUUUGAAUUGCUUACAUGCAACCCUGGAGAAGAGCCUGAAAAGUGAGGGAGAGUUCAAACCUCAGCAGGCAGUGUGUGCCAGCAGGAUGAGCAUGAACUCUCCCCAGCACUGAUGGGACAGAUGUGGAGAAGUCCCUUUCCAACCAUCUGCAGUGUUUGUUUCUAGGGCUGAGGUUCCUACAUGGGUUCCUUCACCACCCUCCUUGUUCCACUGCUGUGCCUCUCCUCCACCAGAACAUUAAUGACUGAGAAAUCCAGCCUGAAAUCUGGGCUUUAUUCAAACAAACAUGAACAAACCCAACAGCCACCUGGUGCCAUGGUUUUGGUUGCUGAGUUGAGGGGGCACAAACCAUACAAGUAAACAUUUGUCUCUGGGAACUAAAGCCAUGACCCAAAAAAAGGCAAUUCUCCUUUUGUUGCCACAUGUCUUACAUCAGUUAUGGCAGGACAUGGAAGUUCUUUGUCAAGCCUUUUAACCCCCUGUGUGCAGCACCAAGAGAGGCAGGCUGGGACCCACUGAUGGCAGAGCUCACCUAAACCCACCCAGCUCAUGGGGUCAGGUGCUGAAGGUGGAAUCCCAGUGGGAUCCAGCCCAGAGAGUGAACUUCUGCAGGAGCCUGAGAGGAUGGGAGUAAGGAAAGCUUCAGCCAGGGAUCUGCAUCUCCUGGAUUCCCCACCCCAGGGACCUGCAUCUCCUGGAUUCCCCACCCCAGGGACCUGCAUCUCCUGGAUUCCCCACCCCAGGGACCUGCAUCUCCUGGAUUCCCCACCCCAGGGACCUGCAUCUCCUGGAUUCCCCACCCCAGGGACCUGCAUCCCCUGGAUUCCCCACCUUUGUCACAGAGGGACAUUUCCCAUAUAUGGCCCAAGGCAGCAGGGUCACAUUUCAGUGCAGGCUCCUGGCAAGCCCAGACAUUCACACACCAUGAGUCAGUGCUCCAGAAAUCACUGGGCUUUACAAACCAAUAAAUCUAAUUCAUUUUGGUUGAGUUUUUACAUUCACCUUCUGUUGGGGUUUUUUCCAACCUCCAGUACACAGGCACUGUCACAUUUUCAUUGUGCUUCUCUGUAACUGGCAGGAGCAUCUCUUUCCAUUCUGGGUUUUUUUUUGCUUUGUAAAAUGACAGACAAGAUUUUCAUAUUGCACUGAAUCCUGGUGUUGGGGCAUGAAGAAUAAAACCAGAGCAACUAUUAUGGAGGUUGGGAACAUUCUAAACUCUCUUGUCCUUUCACACAGCCCUCUGACAACAAAGAAUACUUAUUUUUAAAAUAAAACCACAAAAUAUCUUCAAUCCUGUCCUCAAAUCCCAAACAAACAGCAACUUAUCUGGCAUUUCAGCCAGCAGACAGGACUGCUGCCAGUAAGAACAUUAUGACACAAUCUUUUCCACCAGUGACCUGAUAACAUCAGCAUGACCUUUCUUCUCUUUUUGAACUCUACUCUUCUCAGUUCAAUAGUUCAGCAGAAACUGACCCAUUUUGGAUUACACAAACUAAACCAGAUACCAGACAUUCCUAUUAAAAAUAGACUUAAAUUCAAAUUGCAAAAAAUAUCAUUGGGUAAUUAUUUUCAGAUUAGUAAUGAAAUAAAGGAUGUGGGAAAAUUUAGGGUGAGAAUUUUUAGUUUCAGUUUCCAGCUCUGUCAGUCUGGGCCACUUCAGUUCUCUGUGUGCUGGUGUUUUCCAUAAGCAAAAUACAGAUAAUGCCCCAUCAGGGAAUGGAAUCAAUAUUUCAUUUCUUUAAAGUAGUACUGUAUUCAUAAUGGAAUUAAAUACUUUCAGAGAACUGCAGAGCUCAGAGAAGGGAGGCACUUAAGGGAAGAAGUGUGAGUGAACAAUCUCCUUGAAAGUCUGCAGAGCAUCCUAACAAUUUUACAACACAGAAUAUAAAAAAACCCAGGACAAAACAAGGUGAUUUUGAGGCAAAAUUCAUCUUUGAUGCAAGUGCAAAAGACAAUGCAAGUCCUGUUCAUUUUUGUGGCUUUUUUGGUUUUUUGAUCUCUUUCCCAGUUCACAAUGAAAAUUAUAGUCAACAUGCAGAAUAAAAUAUUGUUCAAAAAGCUUGUUUUUACUUAGGGGGGCAUUUCAACUUAAAAAUAAAAGUGUUACCGACAAGUGUGGCCUUAAAAAAAAAAACUACAAAAAACCCAAAAAAUAUAAACAUUCUUGGGACUUAAGGUGUGAAGGAGGCAGCAUGCUGUCAAACUGCUGGCUAGGAAAACAUAAGGAUUUUAGAUUUCAAAUCUUUUGCAUAUGUUGUAAAAAAUCAUUUUCCUUAGAAGUUUGGUCAAUGCAUUUAGACCCUUUCCUCCAUAAUCAAGGAUUAAGGCUGAUCAGUCAAGCACACAGUGGACAGUAAUAGUUUAUAUCCUUUUCUUCACAUUUUCACUAGGGAAUUUUUAGGAAAUACUACCAUGUAUUAGAUUUAAUGUCAAGCCUGCACCUCUUACUCCUGCCAGAGCAAUGAAAGCUUUAGCCCAUGUUAUUAGGAAGUGAAAGAAAGCAAGCUCAGGCCUCCAGAACAAUGUUUUACCCAGUGAGUUUGGCUUUGGGAGAGCAGCACUGAGGGAGACAGGCCUCAUUCCAAGAACGAUCAUCUUACUUCCCUCAGACAAAGUAAAGCCUUUCACGACCCAGCCUGGGCUCUGGCCUACAUUCUGCUGGAUGAAAAGGCUUCAUUAUUUGCAGUUGAACACAUUGUUUGAAAACCUGAUAUAAACGGCCUUUACCACAGCAAGAGCUGACAAACUGAAAUCAUGAAGUGUUGAGGGUUCCAAGGGUCCAAAACGGCAAAGCUGUAUCCAAUGCGCUGUGUGUUCUCUCUAAAACACACGGUUUAAACCCUGAAAUAGUUUUCACCCACGGCAGAGUUCAGAGAUGGUAUCAGGGUGAUCACAGAAGGUAAUCUGCAGAUUUCAGGUGUCUCUGAAGGCAGAUAAAAAGAAAUUCUGCAAGUGCUUUGUUUCUAAGUGUGCUGCUUUGCAGUCAUUGACAGGUGCUUUGAAUUCCAGCUGCACUCUCCCUGCACACCCUGUAGCCAUUCCAAGUCUCCCUGAAGCCUUGCAGUGAGCUGAACAACAUAUUUCAAUUCUUUCCAGGAAUUCCUUCACUCAGAAUGACCUUCCUGACUCAGGUAUUUCCAUUGCAAAAAAUCUGUGUGUGGCUUGUAUAUUCAGGUCAAAGGAGCAAGUAACAAACAGUACAAAUAACAGGAUACUGAUGGCUUGGCCUUUAUUUUCAUUAAAUUCGUGUUUCAACUCCCUCUUGUUUCUCUUCUGCAUGAGACAAAAUCUUGCUCCACCCACCCCAGAGCCUCUGCACAAGAAGAUGCACAGUGACAGAUCAGGUUUGACUGAGCUGACAGGGAACUCCAUGAUCCCCUGCACAAUCAGACUUUCCAUCUGACAGACAUAAGGCAUGGAUUAUGCAAUAUCAGCCUCUGGCUGGUUGCCAGGAACCUGGACCCUGAGCCCCUACAUAAAAACCAGCUUCAAUUUCUACUUUUUGGAUUAUACAGGCACAGGGGACUUGGAAAUCUACCCUUUACUUGGAAUCUGAAAAAUAAACUGUUUCCAAACUCUCCUGCAAUGCUUGUGCAACAGCCUCGGGACAGGCAGGGCUCUGGCCAGCUGUGCCACCAGCCACAGAAGCUGCAUUUUAGAGCUCUCCCUUCUCUGCAACAAUUGGAACUUUCUCCAGGCUGAAGUCUGCACACAGAGCUCAGUGUUUCCCUGCAAGCACACAACAGCUCCAUUAUCGUUUAACUACCAAAAACCAGCUCCAACAAUCUAUCAAGCCUGACAUUCUAUCCACUAGCCCAGACUGCUGGGCACACAUAUAGGAAGAGGUUCAUGGAUUCAGUAAGAAAAAAGUUAUUUUGUUAAUCUAAACAGAGAUUUCCCUUCUUUUAACCAUUAAUUUGCCAUUUUAAAAACCAUUAAGGAGCCCAGAGGCCCGUUUGUCCUCAGAUUAUCAAAUACAAGUGUCUAUAAAGAAAUUUAUUCUAGAAAAUUAAUAAAAGCUCCUUUUUAAGAUAUAUAUAUAUAUAUAAAACGAAUUUAAAGGAAAUCCCACAGAAAAGGAUCUGCUCACUGCCUCAGAGCUGCAGCACCAGUGGUGUUUCCAGCCUGGCCAUGAUUAUUUUAACACCAAACUACAUCAGAGCAUGAAGCUGCUGCUUAUCUCCCUCCAUGGCCAGGGACAGCUCUGCUGGGCACAUUUCCAAGCCAUGGUGGCCCAGGCAAAGACCUGGGAAGCACCAACACUUCCAUGGAAGCAAAGUGAUUAAAGCAUGACACAGCCUCACCUCGUGGAGAUGACCUCAAGCACAGAACUGCUGAUGUGAGUCUCUGGCUGAAGGACACCUGGCAGCCAUCCCCAUUUUGCUCUGAGCAAGGUAUUUUGACAUCAACAAAAAGUAACAUCCCAUCAGUUUCAGUCUGGAAAUCUGUGGGAUGCAGCUCCUGACUCAUUUGGGGAAAAGCCAAACCAAUAAAAGAUCAGGUGGUGUGGAUGCAGUGAUGCCACUUGUGACACUGCAAUUUGAAAUCAUCCAUGUGUAUAUAUGGAAUAUAUAAUGCCCAAAGGAACCAUCCUUCUUGCAGCAGAGGUUACCACGCAACAAGAUACUCCCAAAAGAAAGUAUUUUAAAUUUAAAUUACAUUUAAUGAGUUUCAAAUCUCACUUAACAUCAGCCUAAACUAAAAGAUUCAAAGCAUAUGCUCUUUAAGUACAUUCUUAUAAGCACAUCCCACAACCUUCUGAAUAUAAAUAAAAAGGUGGCAGCAUGAAAAAAAAGCUGAUGUUUAAUGAAUAUUUUAGUCUCCACCGAAAUAAAAUGUGGAAAUUGCUAUUCCAAGGCUAUUUGGCAAAGGAGCCAGAGGGCAUUAGAGAAAGAAGCCUGAUGAAUAUUUUUGAGUAAACUGAAAACCUCAAGAGCAAUUAAUGUGAAGAAGUUGUAGAUUUUAUAGACACUGAGAAGAAUUAACAGCAUCUCAGAAUGACAACUCUUUCUAAAGAAAGUCCCUUAUGGGAGCAUUAAUUUAACAAGCCAAAAAAGCCUUUCAGAGGUUAGAAUGAGCCAUCUCACUUCUGAGGAAACCGGCUGAGAAAGAAGGAAAAAACCUAAUAAAAUCUGAAUUCUGGAUCUGA